GAUGAACGCUGGCGGCGUGCCUAAUACAUGCAAGUCGAGCGAACGGACGAGAAGCUUGCUUUUCUGAUGUUAGCGGCGGACGGGUGAAUAACACGUGGAUAACCUACCUAUAAGACUGGGAUAACUUCGGGAAACCGGAGCUAAUACCGGAUAAUAUUUUGAACCGCAUGGUUCAAAAGUGAAAGACGGUCUUGCUGUCACUUAUAGAUGGAUCCGCGCUGCAUUAGCUAGUUGGUAAGGUAACGGCUUACCAAGGCAACGAUGCAUAGCCGACCUGAGAGGGUGAUCGGCCACACUGGAACUGAGACACGGUCCAGACUCCUACGGGAGGCAGCAGUAGGGAAUCUUCCGCAAUGGGCGAAAGCCUGACGGAGCAACGCCGCGUGAGUGAUGAAGGUCUUCGGAUCGUAAAACUCUGUUAUUAGGGAAGAACAUAUGUGUAAGUAACUGUGCACAUCUUGACGGUACCUAAUCAGAAAGCCACGGCUAACUACGUG
rnacentral:rRNA from 1 species